rnacentral:rRNA from 1 species
ACGAACGCUGGCGGCACGCUUAACACAUGCAAGUCGAACGAGAGAAGAGAAGCUUGCUUUUCUGAUCUAGUGGCGGACGGGUGAGUAACACGUGAGCAAUCUGCCUUUCAGAGGGGGAUACCGAUUGGAAACGAUCGUUAAUACCGCAUAACAUAAUUGAACCGCAUGAUUUGAUUAUCAAAGAUUUAUCGCUGAAAGAUGAGCUCGCGUCUGAUUAGCUAGUUGGUAAGGUAACGGCUUACCAAGGCGACGAUCAGUAGCCGGACUGAGAGGUUGAUCGGCCACAUUGGGACUGAGACACGGCCCAGACUCCUACGGGAGGCAGCAGUGGGGAAUAUUGCACAAUGGAGGAAACUCUGAUGCAGCGAUGCCGCGUGAGGGAAGAAGGUUUUAGGAUUGUAAACCUCUGUCUUCAGGGACGAAAAAAGACGGUACCUGAGGAGGAAGCUCCGGCUAACUACGUGCCAGCAGCCGCGGUAAUACGUAGGGAGCGAGCGUUGUCCGGAAUUACUGGGUGUAAAGGGAGCGUAGGCGGGAUCGCGAGUCAGAUGUGAAAACUAUGGGCUUAACCCAUAAACUGCAUUUGAAACUGUGGUUCUUGAGUGAAGUAGAGGUAAGCGGAAUUCCUAGUGUAGCGGUGAAAUGCGUAGAUAUUAGGAGGAACAUCAGUGGCGAAGGCGGCUUACUGGGCUUUAACUGACGCUGAGGCUCGAAAGCGUGGGGAGCAAACAGGAUUAGAUACCCUGGUAGUCCACGCCGUAAACGAUGAUUACUAGGUGUGGGGGGACUGACCCCUUCCGUGCCGCAGCAAACGCAAUAAGUAAUCCACCUGGGGAGUACGACCGCAAGGUUGAAACUCAAAGGAAUUGACGGGGGCCCGCACAAGCAGUGGAGUAUGUGGAUUAAUUCGAAGCAACGCGAAGAACCUUACCAGGUCUUGACAUCGUAUGCAUAGCUCAGAGAUGAGUGAAAUCUCUUCGGAGACAUAUAGACAGGUGGUGCAUGGUUGUCGUCAGCUCGUGUCGUGAGAUGUUGGGUUAAGUCCCGCAACGAGCGCAACCCUUACUGUUAGUUGCUACGCAAGAGCACUCUAGCAGGACUGCCGUUGACAAAACGGAGGAAGGUGGGGAUGACGUCAAAUCAUCAUGCCCCUUAUGACCUGGGCCUCACACGUACUACAAUGGCUGUUAACAGAGGGAUGCAAAGCCGCGAGGUGGAGCGAACCCCUAAAAGCAGUCUUAGUUCGGAUUGUAGGCUGCAACCCGCCUACAUGAAGUCGGAAUUGCUAGUAAUCGCAGAUCAGCAUGCUGCGGUGAAUACGUUCCCGGGCCUUGUACACACCGCCCGUCACGCCAUGGGAGUCGGUAACACCCGAAGCCUGUAGUCUAACCGCAAGGAGGACGCAGUCGAAGGUGGGAUUGAUGACUGGGGUG